rnacentral:rRNA from 1 species
AUUGAACGCUGGCGGUAGGCCUAACACAUGCAAGUCGAACGCGAAAGUCCUUCGGGAUGAGUAGAGUGGCGGACGGGUGAGUAACGCGUAGGAAUCUAUCCUGUAGUGGGGGAUAACGUUUCGAAAGGAACGCUAAUACCGCAUACGCCCCAAGGGGGAAAGCGGGGGAUCUUCGGACCUCGUGCUAUAGGAGGAGCCUGCGUCGGAUUAGCUAGUUGGUGAGGUAAAGGCUCACCAAGGCGACGAUCCGUAGCUGGUCUGAGAGGAUGAUCAGCCACACCGGAACUGAGACACGGUCCGGACUCCUACGGGAGGCAGCAGUGGGGAAUAUUGCGCAAUGGGCGAAAGCCUGACGCAGCCAUACCGCGUGUGUGAAGAAGGCCUUCGGGUUGUAAAGCACUUUCAGUGGGGAGGAAAAGCUGGUGGCUAAUAUCCAUCGGCCGUGACGCUACCCACAGAAGAAGCACCGGCUAAUUCCGUGCCAGCAGCCGCGGUAACAC